rnacentral:rRNA from 1 species
GGGUUGUGAGGUUAAGCGACUAAGCGUACACGGUGGAUGCCCUGGCAGUCAGAGGCGAUGAAGGACGUGCUAAUCUGCGAUAAGCGCCGGUAAGGUGAUAUGAACCGUUAUAACCGGCGAUUUCCGAAUGGGGAAACCCAGUGUGAUUCGUCACACUAUCAUUAACUGAAUCCAUAGGUUAAUGAGGCGAACCGGGGGAACUGAAACAUCUAAGUACCCCGAGGAAAAGAAAUCAACCGAGAUUCCCCCAGUAGCGGCGAGCGAACGGGGAGGAGCCCAGAGCCUGAAUCAGCAUGUGUGUUAGUGGAAGCGUCUGGAAAGGCGCGCGAUACAGGGUGACAGCCCCGUACACAAAAGCGCAUGUGCUGUGAGCUCGAUGAGUAGGGCGGGACACGUGGUAUCCUGUCUGAAUAUGGGGGGACCAUCCUCCAAGGCUAAAUACUCCUGACUGACCGAUAGUGAACCAGUACCGUGAGGGAAAGGCGAAAAGAACCCCGGCGAGGGGAGUGAAAAAGAACCUGAAACCGUGUACGUACAAGCAGUGGGAGCACCUUCGGGUGUGACUGCGUACCUUUUGUAUAAUGGGUCAGCGACUUAUAUUCUGUAGCAAGGUUAACCGUAUAGGGGAGCCGGAGGGAAACCGAGUCUUAAUUGGGCGUUAAGUUGCAGGGUAUAGACCCGAAACCCGGUGAUCUAGCCAUGGGCAGGUUGAAGGUUGGGUAACACUAACUGGAGGACCGAACCGACUAAUGUUGAAAAAUUAGCGGAUGACCUGUGGCUGGGGGUGAAAGGCCAAUCAAACCGGGAGAUAGCUGGUUCUCCCCGAAAGCUAUUUAGGUAGCGCCUCGUGAAUUCAUCUCCGGGGGUAGAGCACUGUUUCGGCUAGGGGGCCAUCCCGGCUUACCAACCCGAUGCAAACUGCGAAUACCGGAGAAUGUUAUCACGGGAGACACACGGCGGGUGCUAACGUCCGUCGUGAAGAGGGAAACAACCCAGACCGCCAGCUAAGGUCCCAAAGUCAUGGUUAAGUGGGAAACGAUGUGGGAAGGCCCAGACAGCCAGGAUGUUGGCUUAGAAGCAGCCAUCAUUUAAAGAAAGCGUAAUAGCUCACUGGUCGAGUCGGCCUGCGCGGAAGAUGUAACGGGGCUAAACCAUGCACCGAAGCUGCGGCAGCGACGCUUAUGCGUUGUUGGGUAGGGGAGCGUUCUGUAAGCCUGCGAAGGUGGCCUGUGAGGGUUGCUGGAGGUAUCAGAAGUGCGAAUGCUGACAUAAGUAACGAUAAAGCGGGUGAAAAGCCCGCUCGCCGGAAGACCAAGGGUUCCUGUCCAACGUUAAUCGGGGCAGGGUGAGUCGACCCCUAAGGCGAGGCCGAAAGGCGUAGUCGAUGGGAAACGGGUUAAUAUUCCCGUACUUGGUGUUACUGCGAAGGGGGGACGGAGAAGGCUAUGUUGGCCGGGCGACGGUUGUCCCGGUUUAAGCGUGUAGGUGUGUGUUCCAGGUAAAUCCGGUUCACUUUAACACUGAGGCGUGACGACGAGGCACUACGGUGCUGAAGCAACAAAUGCCCUGCUUCCAGGAAAAGCCUCUAAGCAUCAGGUAACAUCAAAUCGUACCCCAAACCGACACAGGUGGUCAGGUAGAGAAUACCAAGGCGCUUGAGAGAACUCGGGUGAAGGAACUAGGCAAAAUGGUGCCGUAACUUCGGGAGAAGGCACGCUGACACGUAGGUGAAGUGAUUUACUCAUGGAGCUGAAGUCAGUCGAAGAUACCAGCUGGCUGCAACUGUUUAUUAAAAACACAGCACUGUGCAAACACGAAAGUGGACGUAUACGGUGUGACGCCUGCCCGGUGCCGGAAGGUUAAUUGAUGGGGUCAGCGCAAGCGAAGCUCCUGAUCGAAGCCCCGGUAAACGGCGGCCGUAACUAUAACGGUCCUAAGGUAGCGAAAUUCCUUGUCGGGUAAGUUCCGACCUGCACGAAUGGCGUAAUGAUGGCCAGGCUGUCUCCACCCGAGACUCAGUGAAAUUGAACUCGCUGUGAAGAUGCAGUGUACCCGCGGCAAGACGGAAAGACCCCGUGAACCUUUACUAUAGCUUGACACUGAACAUUGAGCCUUGAUGUGUAGGAUAGGUGGGAGGCUUUGAAGCGUGGACGCCAGUCUGCGUGGAGCCGACCUUGAAAUACCACCCUUUAAUGUUUGAUGUUCUAACGUGGACCCGUGAUCCGGGUUGCGGACAGUGUCUGGUGGGUAGUUUGACUGGGGCGGUCUCCUCCUAAAGAGUAACGGAGGAGCACGAAGGUUGGCUAAUCCUGGUCGGACAUCAGGAGGUUAGUGCAAUGGCAUAAGCCAGCUUGACUGCGAGCGUGACGGCGCGAGCAGGUGCGAAAGCAGGUCAUAGUGAUCCGGUGGUUCUGAAUGGAAGGGCCAUCGCUCAACGGAUAAAAGGUACUCCGGGGAUAACAGGCUGAUACCGCCCAAGAGUUCAUAUCGACGGCGGUGUUUGGCACCUCGAUGUCGGCUCAUCACAUCCUGGGGCUGAAGUAGGUCCCAAGGGUAUGGCUGUUCGCCAUUUAAAGUGGUACGCGAGCUGGGUUUAGAACGUCGUGAGACAGUUCGGUCCCUAUCUGCCGUGGGCGCUGGAGAACUGAGGGGGGCUGCUCCUAGUACGAGAGGACCGGAGUGGACGCAUCACUGGUGUUCGGGUUGUCAUGCCAAUGGCACUGCCCGGUAGCUAAAUGCGGAAGAGAUAAGUGCUGAAAGCAUCUAAGCACGAAACUUGCCCCGAGAUGAGUUCUCCCUGAGACUUAGAGUCUCCUGAAGGAACGUUGAAGACGACGACGUUGAUAGGCCGGGUGUGUAAGCGCAGCGAUGCGUUGAGCUAACCGGUACUAAUGAACCGUGAGGCUUAACCUUACAACGCCGAAG